rnacentral:rRNA from 1 species
GCCUAUGACCAAAUAAUCCUGAAUGCAUCCAAUUUGAUCAGAUCUCAGACGCUAAACACUGUGGAAUCUGGUUGGUAUUAUGGGGAGGAGACUGCGAGGGAAUUCCAGGUGUUGUAGGAU